rnacentral:sRNA from 1 species
AUGUUCUAGAUGUCGGUUUUUGAGUCUUCUUGUUAUUUCUAGAGUCUUUUUAGAGUCUUUU